UACGUAGGGGGCAAGCGUUAUCCGGAUUUACUGGGUGUAAAGGGAGCGUAGACGGCAGUGCAAGUCUGAAGUGAAAGGCGGGGGCCCAACCCCCGGACUGCUUUGGAAACUGUGCUGCUGGAGUGCAGGAGAGGCAAGUGGAAUUCCUAGUGUAGCGGUGAAAUGCGUAGAUAUUAGGAGGAACACCAGUGGCGAAGGCAGCUUGCUGGACUGUAACUGACGUUGAGGCUCGAAAGCGUGGGGAGCAAACAGG
rnacentral:rRNA from 1 species